rnacentral:rRNA from 1 species
GAUGAACGCUGGCGGCGUGCCUAAUACAUGCAAGUCGAGCGAACGGAUAAGGAGCUUGCUCCUUUGAAGUUAGCGGCGGACGGGUGAGUAACACGUGGGUAACCUACCUAUAAGACUGGAAUAACUUCGGGAAACCGGAGCUAAUGUCGGAUAACAUUUGGAACUGCAUGGUUCUAAAGUAAAAGAUGGUUUUGCUAUCACUUAUAGAUGGACCCGCGCCGUAUUAGCUAGUUGGUAAGGUAACGGCUUACCAAGGCAACGAUACGUAGCCGACCUGAGAGGGUGAUCGGCCACACUGGAACUGAGACACGGUCCAGACUCCUACGGGAGGCAGCAGUAGGGAAUCUUCUGCAAUGGACGAAAGUCUGACGGAGCAACGCCGCGUGAGUGAUGAAGGUUUUCGGAUCGUAAAACUCUGUUAUUAGGGAAGAACAAAUGUGUAAGUAACUGUGCACAUCUUGACGGUACCUAAUCAGAAAGCCACGGCUAACUGCGUGCCAGCAGCCGCCGUAA